ensembl:snoRNA SNORD127 small nucleolar RNA, C/D box 127
UGGCAACAGUGAUGACAGGUACUGUAUCUGUAUGUGAUGUUUUGUUACCGCAUGGAGACACCAGUCCCUCUAAACUGACGUUGCCA